CCUGCCAGUACUAUAUGCUUGUCCCAAAGAUUAAGCCAUGCACGUCUCAGUAUAAACUUUUUGGUGAAACUGCGAACGGCUCAUUAUAUCAGUGAUAAUUCACUUGAUGGUACUUUACACGGAUAACCGUGGAAAAUCUACAGCUAAUACGUGCCAACGCCUGCGGGCGGUAUUUAUUAGAUUAAGCCAAGCCCUUCGGGGAACGGUGAGUCAUGAUAACUGUGCGGAUCGCAGGACGUUAGUCGGCGACGCUUCAUUCAAAUUUCUGCCCCAUCAACUAGACAGUAAGGUAGAGGCUACUGUGGUGGCGACGGGUAACGGGGAAUUGGGGUUCGAUUCCGGAGAGGGAGCCUGAGAAAUGGCUACCACUUCCAAGGAGGCAGCAGGCGCGCAAAUUACCCAAUCCUGACACAGGGAGGUAGUGACAGUAAAUACGAUGCAGGACCACUGGUCAUGCAAUUGGAAUGAGAAC
rnacentral:rRNA from 1 species